rnacentral:tRNA from 2 species
GCGGGCGUGGCGGAACUGGCAGACGCGCAACGUUGAGGUCGUUGUGGGGGUAACCCCUUGGAGGUUCAAAUCCUCUCGCCCGCA